ACCCGUAAGGCGCAAGGAAG
rnacentral:snRNA from 1 species